rnacentral:rRNA from 1 species
CCUACGGGAGGCAGCAGUGAGGAAUAUUGGUCAAUGGACGAGAGUCUGAACCAGCCAAGUAGCGUGAAGGAUGACUGCCUUAUGGGUUGUAAACUUCUUUUAUAUGGGAAUAAAAUGUUCCACGUGUGGGAUUUUGUAUGUACCAUAUGAAUAAGGAUCGGCUAACUCCGUGCCAGCAGCCGCGGUAAUACGGAGGAUCCGAGCGUUAUCCGGAUUUAUUGGGUUUAAAGGGAGCGUAGGUGGAUUGUUAAGUCAGUUGUGAAAGUUUGCGGCUCAACCGUAAAAUUGCAGUUGAAACUGGCAGUCUUGAGUACAGUAGAGGUGGGCGGAAUUCGUGGUGUAGCGGUGAAAUGCUUAGAUAUCACGAAGAACUCCGAUUGCGAAGGCAGUUCACUGGACUGCAACUGACACUGAGGCUCGAAAGUGUGGGUAUCAAACAGGAUUAGAUACCCGAGUAGUC